ACACACACACACACACCAUACUAGAGAGAUCUAGGGAAACUCCAGUGCGAUCUCCCUCAAAAGCAACAAUAUAUUCUAUUUAUUUUUUGACCUUCCAUGCAAGCGCACCUAUCAUGACAAAUGUCAGGUUCACAGAGAUAUUAUUCAGAUCCACUUCAUCCUCAAACCACAAUCACAAAAGUUUCAUCCUCAUGUAGCUAAAUUCACAACACAAAUCGAGAUUUAAUAUUUUAACGAUGCAACAACACUUAUCUUACAAUAAUCUUCCAUUCAAUACAUAAUGUUGAAGGAAGCAGCAACAAUAUAAAACUCGCGAUCAUAGCAACGAUUUAAUUGUACCUGCAAAGAGGAUACCUCAAUGAACACGAAGAUAAUCCAAAAGCAAGACAAAUACGGAGAUCAUGCUAUCAAUUUUUGAUUGUACAAUAAUUGAUAGAUUCCUACUUUGCAUCCAUUAGUUAUGACAAAAGGAUAAUACCAUCAACAAAACAAAUUCAUAUACUAUAGAGACUGCCGUUUCAAUUACCACAAAUUAGGACUCUUCUAUUUAUGAGGACGCUUUAGAAAUAAUAAAGAUUGACAUUAAUGAUACCAAGUGAAAACUAACUGGGAGGAGACUCUCAAGUUAUGGGAUGAUGAAAGUCAUGAGAAAAAUGAUGAAGGGAUUUUACGUUGAGUUGGGCUAGAGUUUUCAAAAAUGACUAUAACCUUAUUAAUCCACACAAAAAUAAUAUUAUUAAAUCCUAUUGUUUGUGAAUUUGAACUUAAACCAUAUACCAAUAAAGUUAAAUGUGUCAACCAAUAACUAUCCUCAAGCAACAACAACAAAUAACAUGUAAGUGUAAAAUAAAUAUACAAACAUAGUCAAAGAGAAAAAAAAAGCGACAACACAUCAAUGCUUGUUAACCCAGUUCGACCCAAUAUGACCUACAUCUGGGGGGAGAGAUCAGCUCUCCAAUCCACUAUGAAAUUAGUGAUACAAGGAGGUUACAAGAAAUUAGAUCCAAGAGCUUUCGAAAAACUAUCCCUAAUUUCUACCCAUAUAUCAAGUCACUCAGCCCACAAUGAAAUCUCAAGAGAAAAUAAGAGAGAAAAUUUUCAUCUUUUCUCUAAAGAGAGAUCUCACUACCCAAAGUAUACAAAAUAUUCAAAAUAUAAAAAUAUCAUCUGCAUGUCCACCCUUAUCUAAACUCAGUUUUGUCAUCCACCCUUCAUAAACAAAUUCCAUGUACCCAUCAAUAUUCUCUAAGCUCACCACAAAUAAUUUUCUUCUGACAUGUUUCUCCUGUUCGAUACAUCAUGUAUCAACCAUAUUGGCUUUUAUGUGAGUAUAUGUAUCAUGCAUGUUAAGCAAUAAUAUCCUUAGCAAAUAUAAAAUUAAAGUAGAUGUAGUUCAUGUGAACAUAGUACUCUUACAUCAAAUAAUACAAAUUGUAUAGGAAAUCAUAAAGACAUAACAAUAAGAAGUAAAUGAAAGUAAAAUUUGGAAGAAAAAAAAAUGCAUGACAAAGCCUUCAGUUUAUAUCUCUUUGUAUAGAACUAGUUUGCCAAUUAUUCAUAAAUAAUCGUGUCAAAGGCAUUAAAGAAACAAUAUACUAUAACUGCAAUUGAAGUUUUAAUUAAACACUAAACCGUAAACCCUAAUCAUGUGGGAGACGUUAAAAAAUAGCUGGUUAAAUUUCCAUGUAAUAAAGAAUGAAGUAACAUAGCUGCAAUUGAAAGAAUAUAUAACUGCAAUUGAAGUGAUAAUUAUGUAUGAGACAUUAAAGAAAGAAUAUAUGACGCUAAUUGAAGUGUUAAUUUGUGGGCAAUCAUGCCUGAGACAUUAAAGAAAUAUAUUUGUGAAAUUUUCUUAUGAUAAUGAACUGAGUAAUAAUACAACUGCAAUUGAAGUGUUAAUUUGUUGUAAUCAUGUUGGAGACAUUAAAGAAAGAAUAUAUAAAUGCAAAUGAGGUGUUAAUUUAUUGGCUCAUAGCUGAAUUUAAUUUAAGAUCCAAUCUCCUCCACAAUCUUAUUUAAGAGAAUCAAAUUUUAGCGUAAAUAUCAAAACACCAAUUACCUUAACUGAUAACAUAAUUAUCGAAGAACUCCAUUAAGCACUCUCUGCCAAUAAAGAAUAUCGUAAAAAAUUGCAAUCAGAACUUAAUUUAACUGAGUAAAUCUAAAUCACAUAAAUCGUAUCUAGAACCUGGUUUUACAUGAGCACAAAAUUAAUUAACUGAAACAAUCAUAGUUUCUCAAAUUCCGCAUAUAACUUGUUUUAAUUAAACUUUGAAUGUAUAAACUAAGAAAUGAUAGUACCUUAUUCAAGCAAUGGAGAAAAUCCUGUGAUAGUAAUAAAUCCUUUACGAUCAGUGUUAUGAUUUGUUUCUUUGUGAUGCGUGGUAUGUCAAUAAAGAUAAAAGAAAGCAUAACGAGAAGAAGAAGAUCACACACACACCACCACACCUGAGGAAGAUCCCGGGCAAUUCCCGUGCGAUCUUCCUCAGAAACAACAAAAUAUUUUUUUAUUCAUUUUUUUUUACCUGCCAUGCAAGCGCACCUGUCAUGGCAAAGGUCGGUUCACAAUAACAUAAUUUUCAUCAUGUCACUAAAUUCAUAACAACGCUUUUGUUACAAUAAUCUUCUCUUCAAUUUCAAUCCAUGCGAAACUCGCGAUCAUCACAAUGAUCCAAUUGUACCUGCAACGAGAACAUGUGAACUAGGUGGAUGAGCAUUAAGAAAAUCGUGCCUCCUCGCAAUGAUAGAUCUGGCAAAUCGAACUUCA
rnacentral:lncRNA from 1 species